ensembl:lncRNA
AUGUCUGCAGUGGUUCCAGACUCAGCCAUCGAGCUUACGGGGUUCUCCGUGCACCGCUCGGACAGAACGAAAGAGCUCACAGGGAAAAGCAGAGGUGGGGGCGUUUGUUUCUUUAUCAACAACUCGUGGUGUGAUGAAAGGAACCUACACUCUAUUAAAUCCUUCUGCUCCCCUGAUCUGGAAUUUCAUAUGCUUCUGUGUCGACCAUUCUGGCUACCGAGGGAAUUCACAGCGGUCAUAAUCACCGCUGUUUACAUUCCCCCUCAAGCCAACACAGACCAGGCACUCAAGGAACUGUAUGGGAAUAUAAGUGAGCAGGAAACCGCGUACCCAGAUGCAGCGUUUAUUGUUAUGGGGGACUUUAACAAAGCCAACUUCAGAACAAUAGCUCCGAAAUAUUUUCAACACAUCACCAUCAACACGCGUGGUGAUCGUGUACUGGACCACUGCUACUCUCCUUUCCGGGACGCCUACAAAUCUCUCCCACGCCCACCUUUCGGCAAAUCGGAUCACUCUUCCAUUCUGCUGCUGCCUGCUUAUAGGCAGAAACUGAAACGGGAAGCACCCGCCCUCAGGACAAUUCAGUGCUGGUCGGACCAAUCAGACGCUAUACUACAAGACUGUUUUGAUCACGUGGACUGGGACAUGUUCCGGGCAGCGUCUGAUGACGACAUAGAGGCGUACUCAGAAACUGUAACGUGUUUCAUCAGGAAGUGUGUAGAAGAUGUAGUGCCGACAAAAACAAUCCACAUCUACCCCAACCAAAAACCGUGGAUUAAUAGCGAUGUUCGAGCAGCCUUGUCAGCGCGGACAUCCGCUUUUAAAUCCGGAAACGCUGAUGAUCGCAAACAAGCCAGUUACGAUCUCAGGAAAUCAAUCAAAGCCGCAAAAAGACAAUACAAAAACAAAGUUGAAGAACAAUUUAACACCAACGAUGCAAGAGGCAUGUGGCAGGGAAUCAAUAACAUCACAGACUUUAAAGGGAAUAAACCAGCUACUGUGAACAUUACUGUGAACUCUCUACCGGAUGAGCUUAAUAACUUUUAUGCUCGUUUCGAGGCUCACAACACCGCCCACACAGAGAGCGCUCCCGCAGCUGCUGCAGAAGAUGUGAGUGCACUCUCCGUCUCUGUCGCGGAUGUAACCCGAUCCUUCCGACGGGUGAAUAUCCGCAAGGCUGCGGGUCCUGAUGGCAUCCCAGGCCGUGUGCUCCGAGCAUGCGCAUUCCAACUAGCCGGUUUUUACAAACAUUUUCAACCUCUCUCUCUGUCUGUCUGUGGUUCCCUCGUGCUACAAAAAAUCCAUCAUUGUGCCCAUACCAAAGAAAAAUAA